rnacentral:siRNA from 1 species
GAAGGAUCCUUUCGCCUAUUGUA